GACAGAGGUCAAGCGUUAUCCGGAAUGAUUGGGCGUAAAGCGUCUGUAGGUGGCUUUUUUAAGUCCGCCGUCAAAUCCCUGGGCUUCAACCCCUGGCAGGCGGUGGGAAACUACCAAGCUGGAGUACGGUAGGGGCAGAGGGAAUUUCCGGUGGAGCGGUGAAAAUGCGUGAGAGAUCGAAAGAACACCCACGCGAAAAGCACUCUGCUGGGCCACACUGACAUGAGAGACAAGCUAGGGGGGAGCGAAAUGGGGAUUUAGAAA
rnacentral:rRNA from 1 species